rnacentral:snRNA from 1 species
AGCUUUGCGCAGUGGCAGUAUUGUAGCCAAUGAGGUUUAUCCAAGGCGUGAUUAUUGCUAAUAGU